rnacentral:rRNA from 1 species
AGUGAACGCUGGCGGUAGACCUAACACAUGCAAGUCGAACGGCAGCACAGUAAGAGCUUGCUCUUACGGGUGGCGAGUGGCGGACGGGUGAGGAAUACAUCGGAAUCUACUUUUUCGUGGGGGAUAACGUAGGGAAACUUACGCUAAUACCGCAUACGACCUACGGGUGAAAGCAGGGGAUCUUCGGACCUUGCGCGAUUGAAUGAGCCGAUGUCGGAUUAGCUAGUUGGCGGGGUAAAGGCCCACCAAGGCGACGAUCCGUAGCUGGUCUGAGAGGAUGAUCAGCCACACUGGAACUGAGACACGGUCCAGACUCCUACGGGAGGCAGCAGUGGGGAAUAUUAGACAAAGGGCGCAAGCCUGAUCCAGCCAUACCGCGUGAGUGAAGAAGGCCUUCGCGUUGUAAAGCCCUUUUGUUGGGAAAGAAAAGCAGCAGGUUAAUACCCAGCUGUUCUGACGGUACCCAAAGAAUAAGCACCGGCUAACUUCGUG